rnacentral:rRNA from 1 species
GACGAACGCUGGCGGCGUGCUUAACACAUGCAAGUCGAACGGAAAGGCCCUGCUUUUGUGGGGUGCUCGAGUGGCGAACGGGUGAGUAACACGUGAGUAACCUGCCCUUGACUUUGGGAUAACUUCAGGAAACUGGGGCUAAUACCGGAUAGGAGCUCCUGCUGCAUGGUGGGGGUUGGAAAGUUUCGGCGGUUGGGGAUGGACUCGCGGCUUAUCAGCUUGUGGGUGGGGUAGUGGCUUACCAAGGCUUUGACGGGUAGCCGGCCUGAGAGGGUGACCGGCGACAUUGGGACGGGGGUGCGGCCCAGACUCCUACGGGAGGCAGCAGUGGAGAAUAUUGCACAAGGGGCGGAAGCCUGAUGCAGCAACGCCGCGUGCGGGAUGACGGCCUUCGGGUUGUAAACCGCUUUCGCCUGUGACGAAGCGUGAGUGACGGUAAUGGGUAAAGAAGCACCGGCUAACUACGUG